AGGUGGUGCAUGGUUGUCGUCAGCUCGUGUCGUGAGAUGUUGGGUUAAGUCCCGCAACGAGCGCAACCCUUAAGNUUAGUUGCCAUCAUUAAGUUGGGCACUCUAAGUUGACUGCCGGUGACAAACCGGAGGAAGGUGGGGAUGACGUCAAAUCAUCAUGCCCCUUAUGAUUUGGGCUACACACGUGCUACAAUGGACAAUACAAAGGGUAGCGAAACCGCGAGGUCAAGCAAAUCCCAUAAAGUUGUUCUCAGUUCGGAUUGUAGUCUGCAACUCGACUACAUGAAGCCUGGAAUCGCUAGUAAUCGUGGAUCAGCAUGCUACGGUGAAUACGUUCCCGGGUCUUG
rnacentral:rRNA from 1 species